rnacentral:rRNA from 1 species
UACGUAGGGGGGCAAGCGUUGUCCGGAUUUAUUGGGCGUAAAGAGCGUGUAGGCGGUCAGGUAGGUCCGUUGUGAAAACUCGAGGCUCAACCUCGAGACGCCGAUGGAAACCAUCUGACUAGAGUCCGGAAGAGGAGAGUGGAAUUCCCGGUGUAGCGGUGAAAUGCGCAGAUAUCGGGAAGAACACCCGUGGCGAAGGCGGCUCUCUGGGACGGUACUGACGCUGAGACGCGAAAGCGUGGGGAACGAACAGG